rnacentral:rRNA from 1 species
ACAACUUUUGACAACGGAUCUCUUGGCUCUCGCAUCGAUGAAGAACGCAGCGAAAUGCGAUAAGUAAUGUGAAUUGCAGAAUUCAGUGAAUCAUCGAAUCUUUGAACGCACCUUGCGCCCCUUGGUAUUCCGAGGGGCAUGCCUGUUUGAGUGUCAUUAAAUUCUCAACC